GCCAGCAUGGUGUAGUGGUUAGUAUGCUGGAUUAGGACUCUGGGGGACCAGGUUCAAAUCCCCAAACGGACA